rnacentral:rRNA from 1 species
UAAGACUGGAUAGGAAAUAAAAAGGCAUCUUUUUAUUUUUAAAAGACCUUUUUCGGAAGGUAUGCUUAAAGAGGGGCUUGCGUCACAUUAGUUAGUUGGCAGGGUAAAGGCCUACCAAGACUAUGAUGUGUAGCUGGACUGAGAGGUUGAACAGCCACAUUGGGACUGAGACACGGCCCAAACUCCUACGGGAGGCAGCAGUAGGGAAUUUUCGGCAAUGGAGGAAACUCUGACCGAGCAACGCCGCGUGAACGAUGAAGUAUUUCGGUAUGUAAAGUUCUUUUAUUGAAGAAGAAAAAAUAGUGGAAAAACUAUCUUGACGAUAUUCAAUGAAUAAGCCCCGGCAAACUAUGUGCCAGCAGCCGCGGUAAUACAUAGGGGGCGAGCGUUAUCCGGAAUUAUUGGGCGUAAAGGGUGCGUAGGCGGUUUAAUAAGUCUAUAGUUUAAUUUCAGUGCUUAACACUGUCCUGCUAUAGAAACUAUUAGACUAGAGUGAGAUAGAGGCAAGUGGAAUUCCAUGUGUAGCGGUAAAAUGCGUAAAUAUAUGGAGGAACACCAGAGGCGUAGGCGGCUUGCUGGGUCUUUACUGACGCUGAGGCACGAAAGCGUGGGGAGCAAACAGGAUUAGAUACCCUGGUAGUCCACGCCGUAAACGAUGAGUACUAAGUGUCGGGAUUACUCGGUACUGAAGUUAACACAUUAAGUACUCCGCCUGAGUAGUACGUACGCAAGUAUGAAACUUAAAGGAAUUGACGGGACUCCGCACAAGCGGUGGAUCAUGUUGUUUAAUUCGAAGAUACACGAAAAACCUUACCAGGUCUUGACAUACUCUGCAAAGCUAUAGCAAUAUAGUGGAGGUUAUCAGAGAUACAGGUGGUGCAUGGUUGUCGUCAGCUCGUGUCGUGAGAUGUUAGGUUAAGUCCUAAAACGAGCGCAACCCUUGUCAUUAGUUGCCAGCAUGUCAUGAUGGGCACUUUAAUGAGACUGCCAAUGAAAAAUUGGAGGAAGGUGAGGAUCACGUCAAAUCAUCAUGCCCCUUAUGAUCUGGGCUACAAACGUGAUACAAUGGCUGUUACAAAGAGUAGCUGAAACGCAAGUUUAUAGCCAAUCUCAUAAAAGCAGUCUCAGUUCGGAUUGAAGUCUGCAACUCGACUUCAUGAAGUUGGAAUCGCUAGUAAUCGCGAAUCAGCAUGUCGCGGUGAAUACGUUCUCGGGGUUUGUAC